AACGAACCGACUCGGAAAUGCAAAUCGUCGCCUGCGCCGCGGCGGACCCCCGCUCCGCACUCUAGUCCCUCACACCCGAAGUCGUUUUUUACAGUACUGCCCUAGGAAAAGGUUGCGCUCAAAUCCUAACCAAUCGCAACCAAUAAUCCUACUUAAUAAACAGUUUUGUAACAGUCAGGUCGUGGACGCCACUGCUACCCGGUACCCGGCCUCGGUCCUCAGUUCAAAUCCAACAACCCGCCGACUUUUCCUAUCGCGCAUCCAUCGGACCCGCUUGACCCACUCUCACCCCACCCGGCCUCGGUCAUAACUUGUAGUGCUUGUUGUGAAUCCCUCGCCCAUUGAGGUCCCAUGUCCCGUCGUCCGCCUUCUGUUGGAUCCUAUCUGGAUCCUAUCUGGAUCCUAUCUGGAUCCUGUAUGGAUCCUGUCUGGAUCCUGCUGUCCCGUCAUCAUUUCCGCACAUCCAUGCAAGAGGUCGCCACCACGGGCCCUAACCGCUUUCGCCGCUCAACAGCGCACCUAGGGAGAAUGCCGCCGCGGCGGCGACGUGACCCAUCCGGCUGCAGCAGCCCAUGCCGACGACGACGACAGCCCCCAGAGCCGCGCCCCUCGCACCCCGGGGCUCCCCCCUUCCACUUCCACGUGCAC
rnacentral:lncRNA from 1 species